rnacentral:tRNA from 1 species
GGAGUGAUACUCAAGAGGCUGAAGAGGCGCCCCUGCUAAGGGUGUAGGUCGGGAAACUGGCGCGAGAGUUCAAAUCUCUCUCACUCCGCCA